UGUGAGACCUGAGUGGAUCAGAACCUUUUCCUCUGGUUAAAUAACUCUGAUCAUUAAAACAUCUCCACUGAGGAGAUCUUGGUGCAGAGUUCUCCUGGACUUCAUCUUGAAGGGGACCAGAACUUCUCAAGGAGACAGUUUUGUGUCUCUCAGUCCACCUAACCCUGGACUCUCAGGUCCUCCAGGUGGACCAGCUGUUACCAUGGUAGCAGUGGGCUCAGUUCUACUAGAACUGUUCUGAGGUGUCCAUGAACACGUCCUGCAGCAGGAACUGAGCUGGACCUCGGCUCAGGACAAGAACAGACAGGAAGAUCAGAAGCUGUCAGACAGCAGAGAGUCUGCAGGUCCAACAUGCUGCAGUCCUCCCAGAACCAGAACCUGAAUGAUCCAGGUAGUCUGGAUGGAAACAGUGGAGGGAGGAAGCAAAGGGAGCAGAGGCUGAACUGUGGAGGAAAACCUGGAGUCAUUCUGCUAAAAUCAGUGAUUCAGUCAACAGACACAGCAGAGAAUGAAACAUCUAGCAGCUUCUGGUGCUUCUGGCUUCUUGAUGAACAUUUACUGACCUGGAGGCACAUCUGUCAAGUCUCCUGGAGCAGCGAGGAUCGUUGGACUCACAGCAACAGAGGAGACGCCAGAAACAAACCUUCAUGAGGACUUAGUAAAACCUGCUUUAACUGAUGUGGUUCUGGUCCAGUAGAACCCAGCUGGGCUGCUGCUGAUUUCUCCCCUUCAUCAAGUCCUGACUCAGCAGUUUUGCUCUUUAUGUCCAAGUUUCUGACUGAAACAUCAGAGUUCAGAGAGAAAGUGUUUUGGUGAGCAGCAGUGUCUGAUAAAGAGGUUAAUAAUGAGGAUUAGCUGCUGAAUGACUGGAUGAAGUCAGACUGUAGAUGUUGCUGGUUGUGUGUUGCUGAUGCUGGAGCUGAUGUGUUGCUGACUCUCCUCCUCUGUCUCCUCUCACAGGGAGAAGAUGAUCUGCAGGAUCCUGCUGCUCAUCAUCCUCAACUCAUGUCUCUGUGCAGCAACAUUUGUAGUGAAUGUGACACAGAGCUCCUAUCAGGCAGAGGAGAACCACAGCAUCACUCUGGAGUGGACCUUCACCACCACACCUGAUCGACCCUGGAGAGAGCUGGUCAUCUACUGCAGCUUGUUAACUCCAAGGAAAGAAUUAGUCCUGUAUCAUUUCCAUCAGGUCCAUGAUGGUGUUGAGGUGUCAGAGUCUCAGGAUGAACAGUUUUCAGGACGAGUCCAGAGUGACAAAGACGUCCUCAGAGAAGGACGAAUCAGACUCCAUGUGUCCAGACUGAGGACUGAAGACUCUGGUCUGUAUCUGUGUGAUGUUCAGACUGAUGAUGGUUCUGGUUCUGGAUCCUGUCAUCUCAACGUUUCUGCAGCUGCUGAUCAGCUCCAACCUCACACUGAGAAUCCACAACCAGACCAUCGCGGAAGGAGCGGUCUUUA